rnacentral:rRNA from 1 species
UACGAAGGGGGCGAGCGUUGUUCGGAUUUACUGGGCGUAAAGGGCGCGCAGGCGGCUAGUUUUGUCGAGUGUGAAAGCCCCGGGCUUAACCUGGGAACUGCGCUCGAAACGGGCUGGCUAGAGAUCGGGAGAGGAGAGUGGAAUUCCCAGUGUAGAGGUGAAAUUCGUAGAUAUUGGGAAGAACACCGGUGGCGAAGGCGGCUCUCUGGACCGAUACUGACGCUGAGGCGCGAAAGCGUGGGGAGCAAACAGGAUUAGAUACCCUGGUAGUCCACGCUGUAAACGAUGUGUGCUAGACGUUGGGGAGCCUAGCUCUUCGGUGUCGCAGCUAACGCUUUAAGCACACCGCCUGGGGAGUACGGCCGCAAGGUUAAAACUCAAAG